rnacentral:rRNA from 1 species
GGGGUGCUCGAGUGGCUAACGGGUGAGUAACACGUGAGUAACCUGCCCUUGACUUUGGGAUAACUUCAGGAAACUGGGGCUAAUACCGGAUAGGAGCUCCUGCUGCAUGGUGGGGGUUGGAAAGUUUCGGCGGUUGGGGAUGGACUCGCGGCUUAUCAGCUUGUUGGUGGGGUAAUGGCCUACCAAGGCGGCGACGGGUAGCCGGCCUGAGAGGGUGGACGGCCACAUUGGGACUGAGAUACGGCCCAG